ACCCCGCCUCAAUUUGUUCAUGAAUAUUUUUGUCUUGUCUAAUUAGUGUUGUGAACUGAUUGAUAAAUAAUAUCUAUAGCUGGUUGCAUUUUCCAUCCUUCUCCGCAAAAGAAAGCAAUAAAAUAAACAAGAGAAACGUAAUGUAUAGUUUGCCCACAUUAUUGUGUUCCUGCUUCGGUUGUGCAUGCUCUGUAAAUACUUUGGUAUGGAUAUGAUUUCUCCCUUUCUACAUUCAGGAUAGAAAAUGUGGAAUUUAAAUACAAACAUU
rnacentral:lncRNA from 1 species